GAGUCUGAUAUGCUUGGUCAAGUUCAGUGCAGCGGCUGCAGCCGGCCCCUAUUGAUUCCAUUUUCUAUGAUGCACGGUGGUCGGCCGGUAGGCACCUCUACCUUCUGUCGCAGCGUAUCCAGGAAAAGUGUUAAGUCCCUCUUUUGUCCACAUGAACUGCCCUCCUUUGCCACAUAGAAGGCAUCGAGGGCUCUAUGAAAGCAUCCAAUCUCGCCGCUCUGCCAACUUUGCCUGAACCUCGACUGCCAAUGCUCCAUAUACCGUCAUACAAUCUUGCCAUUCUACCUACUUCGCCGGAACACCGACCGCUGGUGCGCUAUCUGAG
rnacentral:rRNA from 1 species